GACGGAGGGGGCUAGCGUUGUUCGGAAUUACUGGGCGUAAAGGGCGCGUAGGCGGCUCUUCAAGUUAGACGUGAAAGCCCUGGGCUUAACCUAGGAAUAGCGUUUAAUACUGGAGGGCUAGAGAUCGGUAGAGGGAAAUGGAAUUCCUAGUGUAGAGGUGAAAUUCGUAGAUAUUAGGAAGAACACCAGAGGCGAAGGCGGUUUCCUGGGCCGAUACUGACGCUGAGGAGCGAAAGCGUGGGGAGCGAACAGG
rnacentral:rRNA from 1 species